rnacentral:lncRNA from 1 species
UGCACCGCCCCGCCACACCACACACAUGAUGCUCAAACUCCAUCAGAUAUUUCUUUCCUACGCGUACUCAUCUACAAACUCUCUCUCGUCUAGUCGUAAUGUCGUCGUCUUGUGCUGCUGUGGUAGUCUGUCCUUUGUCCUUUGUGGAGAGCAUCUUAAUUAAUAUAUAUAUGUAUAUAUACACAUAAAUAUUAGCAUUCACAUGUAUCCACUUUUACCAGAUUUAGCAAAGAUUUCGUUUAGUCACUAAGCAAUAUAUAUCAUAUAUAGCUGUGGAGAUAAAUAGAUGUAGCAAGCGUCCAUUGUUGUUGGAGCUAGCUAGGUUUGUUGGAGACUUUUGGAGCAGCUAACUGCUAGCAGCAUGCAUGCAUGGCGCCCAUCCAUCGUGGAAGAGGAGGGGGGACGGACAUAUAGAUGAUGCGUGUGUGGCGUGGCGCCCGUGCUGUGUCGAGCCAACGACGAGAGCUAGAUGAGGUACAUACACGCGGACGGUAUCGCUACUAUAGCUCGUACUCACUUGCGUCGAGCUCGGAGCUGACGAGCUCCAAGAGCAGCGUCUUGCCGAGGAGGUCGCCGACGUCGUCGAGGGCGCGCUCGAAGUACAUCUGCCCGAUGGCCGGCGACGCUUCCACCGUGGCCGUCACCGUCAGCAUCUGCGGCGGCUCCACGGUGACGGCCGCCACGGCGCCGCUGACCUCCUCGGUGGCGCUGCAGCUGAUCCUCGGCAGCCGCGUGUGCCGCCGGGACGAGGACCGGGAGCGGGAGGAGGAGGAGGACACGCCAGCACCGCCCCUCCGAGGCCUGCUGACGGCCGCCGCUGAGGGCGACGACGCCAGGCGCGAGCCGACGACGACAUUGCUCUGGUGCGCGGGCAGCAUGAGAGGCUGCUUCAGGUUCAG